rnacentral:rRNA from 1 species
UACGGGGGGUGCAAGCGUUGUCCGGAAUUAUUGGGCGUAAAGAGCUCGUAGGCGGUUCGUCGCGUCGGCUGUGAAAACCCGGAGCUCAACUCCGGGCCUGCAGUCGAUACGGGCGGACUUGAGUGUUGCAGGGGAGACUGGAAUUCCUGGUGUAGCGGUGAAAUGCGCAGAUAUCAGGAGGAACACCGGUGGCGAAGGCGGGUCUCUGGGCAACUACUGACGCUGAGGAGCGAAAGCGUGGGGAGCGAACAGG